rnacentral:tRNA from 1 species
GGUAUCGUGGCCGAGUGGCUAGGCAGUGGUCUGCAACACCAUGUACAGCGGUUCGAAUCCGCUCGAUACCUCAA